CCUACGGUAGGCAGCAGUCGAGAAUCAUUCACAAUGGGGGAAACCCUGAUGGUGCGACGCCGCGUGGGGGAAUGAAGGUCUUCGGAUUGUAAACCCCUGUCAUGUGGGAGCAAAUUAAAAAGAUAGUACCACAAGAGGAAGAGACGGCUAACUCUGUGCCAGCAGCCGCGGUAAUACAGAGGUAUCAAGCGUUGUUCGGAAUCACUGGGCGUAAAGCGUGCGUAGGCUGUUUCGUAAGUCGUGUGUGAAAGGCGCGGGCUCAACCCGCGGACGGCACAUGAUACUGCGAGACUAGAGUAAUGGAGGGGGAACCGGAAUUCUCGGUGCAGCAGUGAAAUGCGUAGAUAUCGAGAGGAACACUCGUGGCGAAGGCGGGUUCCUGGACAUUAACUGACGCUGAGGCACGAAGGCCAGGGGAGCGAAAGGGAUUAGAUACCCUUGUAGUC
rnacentral:rRNA from 1 species